CGGCAACAGCUCAAAUUUGAAAUCUGGCCUCUUUUGGGGUCCGAGUUGUAAUUUGUAGAGGAUGUUUUGGGUACCGCACUGGUUUAAAUUUCUUGGAACAGGACAUCACAGAGGGUGAGAAUCCCGUACGUGCCCGGUGGCCGCCCCCGUGUGAAGCUCCUUCGAC
rnacentral:rRNA from 1 species